rnacentral:rRNA from 1 species
UACGGGGGGGGUAAGCGUUGUUCGGAAUUACUGGGCGUAAAGGGCUCGUAGGCGGCCAACUAAGUCAUACGUGAAAUCCCUCAGCUUAACUGGGGAACUGCGUGUGAUACUGGAUGGCUUGGAUUUGGGAGAGGGAUGCGGAAUUCCAGGUGUAGCGGUGAAAUGCGUAGAUAUCUGGAGGAACACCGGUGGCGAAGGCGGCACCCUGGACCGGUAUUGACGCUGAGGCGCGAAAGCCAGGGGAGCAAACGGG